UGCCAGCAUCCGCGGUACAACUUAGGGGGCGAGCGUUGUCCGGAAUUACUGGGCGUAAAGGGCGCGUAGGUGGUCCAUUAAGUUAGAGGUGAAAGAUCGGGGCUCAACCCCGAGAUUGCCUCUGAUACUGGUGGACUUGAGUGCAGGAGAGGGGAGCGGAAUUCCCAGUGUAGCGGUGAAAUGCGUAGAUAUUGGGAGGAACACCAGUGGCGAAGGCGGCUCUCUGGACUGUAACUGACACUGAGGCGCGAAAGCGUGGGGAGCGAACAGGAUUAGAUA
rnacentral:rRNA from 1 species